CGGGUUGUGGCUGAGUGGUAAAGCGCUUUCUUUGGGAGAAAGAGCUCCUGGGUUCGAUUCCUUGCAACCCGAU
rnacentral:tRNA from 1 species